CCCAGGAUCUCUGCCGCCGGUCAGUCCAUCGGAGGGCGGCGCUCCGGGUGAGGCAGAGGGCAGUGUGUGCGCCCAGGGGCGGCGGAGCCAAGGCCAGCAGAGGGACAAAGUCUCAGGUCAGCAGGAGGAAGGAGGCAGCGGAGUCCUGGGAGACCAGCGCUGGCAGGAGGAAAGCCUCCUCCCUGCUCCCUGCCACCUAGAGCCUCAGAGGAGCUCCUCAGGCUGACGCAUUCCACCUGCCCAGGUUUCCCGGCUGCUCCCAUCACCAUGGAUUUACAUGUAAUUCUCACGCCUCACGGCUCCCCGCUGCCAGGGUAGAAGGCAGUGUUGCUGGUGCAUUUCCAGUGUGCAGCCAGCACUAGUCAACGUCGGAGCACUUUUGUCCCCCAAAGGGAUCCUCCUGCCUCAGCCUCCCGAGAGCUGGGAUUACAGGCUUGCACCACGCCACCACGCCCAGCAGGGGAAGCUGUGAAGCAGCGGAUGCUGCGGAGCCCCUGGGCCAGGCCCCGAACACCCAGCUCCCCACAGCAGCAGGAGGAGCUCACGUCUCACUGAGGAGCAGCCGCCAGCCGGAGUGCACGUGGAAAAGAGGAGACAGCAGGAUAAACCGUCAGUGCCCGGCCCAGAGCUGUGGAUGCCCUAACUCCACGUGCCCUGCGGGGUGAGACAGGGUUUGGGACAGUGCAGCGAACAGAGCCCGAGGCGUCUCCGGCCUCCCGGCCCAGGUCCACCCACCCUGGGCCCAGGCAUCGUGGGACACUCAGCUGGGAUCCGGAAGCUCAGAUUUCGGGGUUCUGGGGUUGGGGUGCUCGACUUGUAAAGCCUAAGCAAAUAUCCCAACUUCUGAAAAGAAGUCUGAGACCUGAGACCUGUCUGGGGCCAAGCAUUUCUGACAAGGAAAUGCAACCUGCUGGGGACUCAGAGCCUGGGCGGCCCUGGGGAAGCAGCCAGUUCGGCGCCUUGGGGAGCCUGAGACCGGGAGGCCGAGGUGCGGGGGGGCCAGCACAUUCAGUGCUCUUGCUGGAGCCCACAAACCACUUCUGACUCCCAGCUGCUAAGUGAUACACUGUUUACCCAAAUAGACUCUUUAAAAUAUUAUUGCACCUCAGUGUAUCUCUGAAACCACACAAAACACUGGAUAAAGUGGGGCAGAGGGGGUCUGGGUCACCGGCACCCCACAAAGGUGCAGGAGGGAAGCAGACCCAGACCCAGGAUGGGGG
rnacentral:lncRNA from 1 species